rnacentral:antisense_RNA from 1 species
GUAGGAGUGAGCCUGCUCGCGAUGACGGAGGGUCAGUCAACAUCUGCAUUGGCUGGUCAACCGCUAUCGCGAGCAGGCUCACUCCUAC